rnacentral:lncRNA from 1 species
CUUUUACGUCGGCCUUCGCGAGCGUCUGGGCGGGUGGUAGUGGCACAGUGGAGCAGCUCUGAAGAUGCAAAGUGUGGACGAGUAGCCAGUGAAGAUAAUGAAUGUCGAAUGUGACUGACUAGCAGCUUCAUUUUGAAUGAGGGUCGCUGUCUGCCCAUUGAUAGAGGCCAGAUUGUCUUGGAAGUUCCAAAGUUGCAACGAUUUCU